GAUGAACGCUAGCGGCAGGCCUAACACAUGCAAGUCGAGGGGUAGAACACUUCGGUGUUUGAGACCGGCGCACGGGUGCGUAACGCGUAUGCAAUCUACCUUGUACAGGGGAAUAGCCCAGAGAAAUUUGGAUUAAUGCCCCAUAGUAUAUAACCUUCGCAUGUUGGUUAUAUUAAAGUUCCAACGGUACAAGAUGAGCAUGCGUCCCAUUAGUUAGUUGGUAAGGUAACGGCUUACCAAGACGAUGAUGGGUAGGGGUCCUGAGAGGGAGAUCCCCCACACUGGUACUGAGACACGGACCAGACUCCUACGGGAGGCAGCAGUGAGGAAUAUUGGUCAAUGGUCGCAAGACUGAACCAGCCAUGCCGCGUGCAGGAAGACGGUCCUAUGGAUUGUAAACUGCUUUUAUACAGGAAGAAACCCUCCCACGUGUGGGAGCUUGACGGUACUGUAGGAAUAAGGAUCGGCUAACUCCGUGCCAGCAGCCGCCGUAAUAC
rnacentral:rRNA from 1 species